rnacentral:rRNA from 1 species
UACGUAGGGUGCGAGCGUUGUCCGGAAUUAUUGGGCGUAAAGAGCUCGUAGGCGGUUUGUUGCGUCGGCUGUGAAAACCUGCGGCUUAACUGUGGGCUUGCAGUCGAUACGGGCAGACUUGAGUUCGGCAGGGGAGACUGGAAUUCCUGGUGUAGCGGUGAAAUGCGUAGAUAUCGAGAGGAACACCUGCGGCGAAGGCGGGUUGCUGGGCUGACACUGACGCUGAGGCGCGAAAGCUAGGGGAGCGAACGGG